ACCACUGAUAUUUAUCUUGGUGAUGGAAGUCUUGAACAAUCAGAUAAGAAGGGAUCAGCUUGUUAAAGGCAUCACUCUGGGAAACAAAACAUAUAAAAUUAAAGCCUUCGCGGACGAUCUACUUGUUAUGACUGAAAACCCUAAAGAAAGUCUGAAAAGAGUGCUGGAAUUGAUUAAAGAAUUUGGAGAAGUGGCAGGCUUCAAGCUGAAUAUAACAAAAACAAAAAUGCUUGUUAAAAAUGUAACCACAGAAGAAAAGGACGAUUUAGAAAAAAUAUUGGGCCUGAAAAUCUCCUCAAAAGCGAAAUACCUGGGUAUUUGGAUCACCCCCAAGAACAUAAACUUAUUUCAGGAUAAUUACACCAAAACUUGGUUAGAGAUUAGAAAAAACUUUGUAACCUGGAGUAAACUAAAAUUAACAUUUCUGGGUAGGAUUUCCAUUAUAAAGAUGAAUGUACUUCCAAAAUUAAUCUUUUUAUUUCAAAUGAUUCCAAUACUGGGCGAAGCAGGUUGUCUCAAGAUAUGGCAAAGAGAAAUUUCCAAAUUCCUGUGGGAAGGGAAGAAACCUAGGAUUAAACACCUGAUCUUAAUAGACAUAAAAGAGAGAGGAGGCUUUUCCCUACCCGACCUAAAACUUUACUACGAGGCAGCAUGUUUCACCUGGCUAAAAGAUUGGUGCACGUUGCAGGAUUCGGACCUCCUCGACCUGGAAGGUUUUGACAACCGUUGGGGAUGGCACGCCUACCUAAUAUAUGGAAAAGCGAAAAUUCAUAAAAACUUUACCAACCAUAUAAUAAGAAAGUCACUCUUUGCUGUAUGGGAAAAAUAUAAAGACCUGAUGGAGCCUAAAGUCCCGUGGUGGACUUCUCCAGUAGAAGCCAUAGCAGUAAAACGGAAAAAUACUCAGGAAAGCUGGCCAACAUAUAAAAUACUUCUAAAAAAUGAAGAUA